GUGUGAAGGGCAGCAGAAACAAGGAGAAGUGAACAGAUUUGGGGUGUUUGGAAUUAGAUCCUGUUGCCAGAUUGACUGUGGGAGCAGAACAAGAGAGAAGAAUUAAUGACGACUUCUUGGUUUCGGAUUUAAAUGACUGUGUGAUUAUGGAACUGUUCACUAAGAUGAUGAAAUGUCAAGUUCAUGAAGAUCCAAGGAGGCCUGCAGAACUGUUCCUGAUUAAAGAAAAUUAAAGAGAUGUGAUAAUUAAGUGCAGCACAUGGCUUCUGAUUGAAGUUGGAUUCUCCUGGUCCAAAAGAUGUGCUUGGGAUAUCGGGCCAAACUUGAGUGGGGUCUUUGGGUAAAAGAUAUAUGGGAGUCUCUUACUGUGUAGACACCUUUUUCACAUGUUUGAACACAUAUGUUGUUUUUUGUGGGUUUUUUUGUUUGCUUUAAGCUUUGACUCAUAUGGGCUGUUUGUAUGCAGUGUUGAGAAAGAUGUGAUGGAGCUGAGAGAGGGGUCUCUGGAGGUCUCACUUCCACUCAAGGGCACCCCCCACAAAUAUGCAGCUAGUGGUCAACAAAGCCAUACCAGGUGCAGAAUGAACCGUGCAGACCCCUUACAUUUUAUUUGAAGUGGUGUUGCAGGCAGGAAGAGGGGAUUUUCAUCAAAUGUCAGAGAAGCAGAAAGAGGAGAAACUUGGGUAGAUGAGGGGGUCACUAUGGCUUUCACUCCCAAAAAGGCUCUACAAGAAAACACCACAGAAAUAUUUUUAGUGUCUGAUCUCUUUUCCUUCUGGUUCAUUUUUCCCCAUCAGUGUUUCACGGUAACACUCUCCAUUUGCCUUUUUCUCCACCUGUAGAAAUUUAUGUCUUUCUAUUCAAAAUUGUUGGGGGUAGGAUCCCAGGUAUAGAUUCAAAGCACAAAACAAUUUUCUCAACCUUAGAUGCUAAUGAUUUCCUCCCUAUUUUCAGAGAAUCCAUGAGUAGGUUUGUCUUUAUCCCAGUGUGGUUGAAGACAUCCCUCUCUAAAAAGAUGACAAUCUAGGAGUGAUGACUUGAAAAUCCUAGCUUGGUUUUGUGAUUUUAGAGAUCUGUGC
ensembl:lncRNA